GCAGAGUUUGGGGAGGGGCGCAUAUCAGGGUGAGCUUCCCCAAUCCUUAUUUCCCCUCCGCUCAUGAUCUCUCUCUCUCUCUCUCUCUCUCCUACCCAUCUUCUAUGCAAGAUUUGUGUAGCCUAAACGCCUCUGUACGAUAUGUGUAGGUAUACCUUCGGAAGAACAAAUCAAUCAAAUGUUAAUUCUCCAAGGUAACUUGCCUUUUCUACGCAGGUACUGCUUGUUUAGUACUGUGGAUAGUACUGUUGAUAAGUAAAUGUAAGCAUGACCCAAUAAUGAUACGAACAAGCUUUGAGAGGCUCAAUCAUUUUCAUUUAUACUAAGAAUUAACCAGUUCACUAAUUUCUAUGCUACUGAUAGUAUCGUCUGAAUAUAUCUACUACAUUCACUGCACUGUGCUUACAUUCACACUGAUUGUAGCUGCAAGUUAAGAUCUAAUUGUCCAAGAUAAUUCUGAGGACCUAACACAACGUGCGGUUUUGAACUAAGUGAUCUUUUCUGGCCUUACUCCCAUCUACUUUUAAAAUCAAUUUUAAUGAUAUCGAUAGGUUAAGGUCAUUCAUGAGGAGAGGUGUUGGGGCGGAGUCCCAGGUGUAGCUACUAUUGCCCUAUCAAUUCUGUAGUCACCUCUUUCUGAACAUUGGUCAGUUCUUCACGAGCGAUACUAUACUCUUGCUGCCUCUUAGUAUUCUCCGUUUAUUCUAAUAAGUGUAUGUGGACACACACAGACAGUAACGGAACAAGCACAACAGUUCUCUUUGUGUUUUAGUGGGUAUAUGUGGAUGAACAGAAAGUGGUCUCUGUUUAUUACCGGGUUACAUGUUGCUGCAAUGAAAAUGUAUAUGGUGAUUUUCAUUCUGGUUUGCAGGGUAGUACAUGGAGCAUAGAAACUGAGUCGAAAGUCUGUCUUUUGUGCAGGAAUUUACUGCAGGUCUGAUCCCUUGCUCGUGCUCUCUGCUUGUCCUCACUCCGUAGACCUUUCCUUUGCUCGUAGCCAUACAUUUUUAUUCAGAGUGCUGUCAAGACGCAUCUCCUCUGCCUAUAUGGCGGGCAGAGGGCCUAAGCUCUAGGUGAGCUCCUCCUCCACCCUACAAAUGUUGUAUUUUGUAUGAUGUUUCCAUUGUUAAUGUCUGCAAUCUAAUGCCUUGCUCUGCUAUUUUUAUUUCUAAUCUCAACAUUUCCAAUUUUAUUAGUCGAGGAUUACCUGAAUGUUUUGUUGGAAUUGGAAUGCGGGGAUCUCAAAGAAUUUUUCUAAAGCAAGAUCCAAUAUCAGCAUGUUGUGAUCUUGCUCGGUGGUUGAGGUCCUGUAGAGAACAUCAUCACUAUAAUGAAGUCGAUAGCAACUUGCUAAAAUCAUUUUCUCCAGAAGAUUGAGAACCGGUAGGAUUCUAUUUGUAUAUAUUUACAGUGACAUUCUCUCUGAUUCGAGUAAUUACAUUAGUAUCUGUUUCAUUCGUCUUUGAUGAAUGCCUCUAGAUAUUCAACAAAAAGGAUAAAAUCAUCAUUUCUUUUGAAACUUUAAAGGUAGUAGGAGAGGCUCCUACUGUCAUAUAAUAGAGCUAUAAGUUACAUGACUACAUAACUAAAAACUACAGGGGGACACACCUCCAAAAGUCUGCCCAACAGGGAAAAAAACAACAGGAGUAGGUUUACUGUAAAGAAAAGACAAUAGUGGAUAGUGACGUCCAAGCCAGGAUCCUAUGGAGGGAUGGAUUCCCCUGAAAAUCUUUACACAUUUGUCUUUCUUUUAGCAUUGAUGAAUGCAUGAAAAACAUGCACAUGGCCACACAUGCCUAAAGUUAAAAAACAAGGAAUUGGGUUUUCAUUUCUCUUAAAACUGUUAGAAUGUGUCAUGUUGGCCAUAUAUCACAUUUCUAAUGGUCGUAUUUCCUUACGAUAAGUAGUUGAUGGUUAAUUUUCUUGGUUAGGUAAACUACCUCGCUGUUAUGAUAAAAGUUCAAGGCCAUCAGGGGUAUCCUGAACAUAGGCAGAUGAACCUUCCCUGUAUAUGUGCUGUUUUUAGCUAGGGAAAAUGCACUCAAGCCAUAGCCAUUUCGGAAUUGAUGGUAAAAUAUUUGAAGAUAGUUCAGUGUAGAUUGGAGCUUCAACAUAUCUAUAGCAUAGCCUUCUCUUGGAAAACAGUUACAUUUAUGACUAUUCAAAAGUAAGAAGUUAGCAUUUUCUUGAUUGUUGGAUUUGAGAGCCUUCAUUUUCCUGGAUAUCAUUUUUUUUUCAACACUCUGCUGAUGUCACCUUGAAGCUUGAACAUUUUUUUCACUCCUAUAUAAAUACACUGCUCUACAAAAUUGAUUGAUUAAAGAAGUUAACUCUUCUUCAAAGCAAAUUUUCAAAUGACUUGAUGCGAGGACCAAAACAUGGAAACUUGGUAUAUCAGCUCAAACACCUCAUCAGUAAAAUGGAAGUUUGCUAUACUAAAUAAACUAUCUGCUCUAUUAUUUUUAUUUUUACUCUUGCUUCCAUUCAUGUAUUUAUAGUACCCUGGGUAGCUACAACAGUGAUAUUACAGGUGAUAUGUAGGGGAACACAUGUUCAUUAUAAAAAUAAAGAAAUAUGGUAUGAAUCCAAUUGGUGUUAAUUUGAACUUAGGUGGUGAGAUUGUGCGUCCUCCCCCACCAAAGUGAGCUAGGUGUAAUUUAAACUUUAUUCCAGGCACAUGAAACACAUCAUGGGUGUAUAUGAACCUUAUCUCAAAAUACUCAAUCUUGCCAACAAAAACUUAAUUGUGUGAUGUGUGCAUGAAAUAUAUUACUCUCUGUUCCUAGCCACGCACCUCCUCACCUCCUCGAUUCCUAGCCACGCACCUCUCCUCACCACCUCCACGAACACGUAGAAGGGCCACAGCCCGGUCGGGCAGGCCUCUGGCCGUCGGUCCCGAGCAGAGAACUUCGGCGACCUCCGCAGCUCGCCCACCCCGCUCCGGUGCCUCUCGAGCUCGACCAACUGCUCGGGCGUGGCAUUGGAGGUCUCUUGGUGCUGCCUGGAUGCUGCUGAGCCCCCGGAGCCGCCUCUAGUCAUUGUCUUCUUCCACUCUGGUGAAUCCCGUCCGCCACCGAAGCUUGCGAGCUUGACCGCGAGCAGCUCCGGCCAUCCCACGGAAAGCCACGGGUACGGGCAGGUGCGCCGUGAACCCCGCUUCAAUUCUAUCCCUCUCAUCUAGCCCCAAACCCCCUCCUCGUCGGCGUGAGCUCCGGCGAAGCGCAGUCACUCUCUAAUCUUGCUCCCCUCUCUCUCUCCCGACGUACGGGGCCCACUCGUCAGCCUCACCACUCGCGCCCGAAGCGGUAUGAGUGGAGGCGUAUUUGCCCUUUACACCUUCGACGUCACCCCCCCCAAGAAAUUCUGCUUAAUUCAAAUUUAAUCAGAAUUUGACCCAAACUUUGACCAGCCACCAUUUCUAAACCAUAAGUCCAAAUGAUCUGAUUCUUUUUGCAUUGUCUUUGUUUCAGAAAGCUCUAGCAGCACACCAAAAGGUGGAUUUUUUCCUUGUUGCCUAGAAUUUCUGGUGCUAAUCGGAGAGGUUUUUGAUAUUUGUUUUUGUGGUUUUUAAUUAUUUUCAGAAGGAGAAGCUUGUCUUGAAGCAAACCAAGAGGGGUGUGAUCCUCCUCUACACUAAGGCAAGCCACACCAGCAUUUGGAUGGUGUUAUUUCAAUAUCUAUGAUUUUCUACUUGAAUAUGAGCCCUUAUUUGCAUUUAAAAUUUGAUAAAUAAAUUUUGUUAAGUGCUAGUCACUUUAUCAUGCUUGAUAUGCUUGUUUUAGUUACUGGUAAAUUGCAUGCACUUGUUUGGUCAAGUAGAAUAAAAUUUUGCAUUAGUUAUAUUGCUAUGGGAAAUAAUGAUAUUUCUUUUAUUAAGGGAUAUUUUCAUAUGAAUAAUGAGCUAAUAAAAAUAUUGCUUGUUAAUAAAAAUGAAUUAGGACCAGUGAAGUUUUUGAUCCUGAGUAUUGCAAGAUAAUUAUGUUGAUAAGUUUGAUCCAUAUCCAUGUGUUGUUUGCUUUGCAUGUCGAUUAGUUGCUUGAUUACGUCAUAGUAUGUGUUGCUCAUAAUUUUUUAUAUAUCAAAGUUAAACUUGAUUAAGUUCAACUUGAAUAUGAUGUUGAUCACAUCAUGAAUCGGGUUUUUAUUCAGUGCGACCACAUUUACCUUGUGGGAAGGUCUUGAUUCGGUCCUUUGUUGUGCCUCUCACCGGUGCCUCCCGCGAGGGAAGGUUAUGGGCGUGCAUACCCUGGCUCGGUAAGCGGACAUAACCUUGUGUGCUCAUUUUUGUUUUUAUGCUACCUUGUUCCCGUUUGGGACCGUUUUGCCAUGACGGUGGCUGUUGGUGCCUUUGGUAGGAACGGGGCCACCCAAGACCUAGCCCUGAGAGGGAGUUGGUCGGAGUGGCCGGGAGAGUGCCAUGACAAAGGGAGGGUUUCGUCGGAACGCUUUGGUCCACCCGAAUGGGAGUGCGAGGCCAGGGGUUCCGUAGUGUGGGUAAAGUGCGCUGCCUCUGUAGAGUGUAUUUAAUCUAUCGAUAGCCGCAUCCUCGGUCGUGGGCAUAGCUCGGAAGUAAGUCACACCAUGGAUCAACUUUUAUAAUUAAUCUUGCAAACUAAAUGAUUGUUGUGAUGCAUUUUGUUUCGUGGUGAUUCAUGAACGCUUGAGUUGUUCAUGAGUGGUUGGUUUCAGUUGUGACCCAGGUAUGGUCACCGUUUGGUUACGAGGUAAUCGUCUAGUAAGCGAGUCUGUGAGAUUCGGUGCGCGUGUUGGUUUCAUUGCAUCUGUUAGUAGUCUUGCAUUGCAUUAAUUUGAUUAAUUGUCAUGAUAUUGUCUGUCAUCGUGCUUAUGUUUGUUGUGAGCUUGCAAGUACAUUCAAUGUACUGACCUGGCGUGUAAUGCCAGCUUUCAGGCAAGUUGGUUCGCAUCGGAGCGCAUCUUGCGUCUAGGCCGUGUCCACGCCGGUGUCCCUGUGCUAUGGAGUUUCCACUUUGUCGUCUUCCGCUGCCGCGUAGUUCGUGUGAUCGAGACCCUCGUCAUGUUCAUUAAAUAAUGUACAUACUGUUCAGCCGCACCGAGUGUGCUGCUUGGCCUCGUAUGUCGAUGUAAUAUAAGACUUAUGUAAUCCGCUAGCAUCAAUAAAGCGGUUGUUUCUGUACCAUGUUGUUGUGUAUUGCCAGAAGACUAG
rnacentral:lncRNA from 1 species